rnacentral:rRNA from 1 species
UACGGGGGGAGCAAGCGUUGUUCGGAUUUACUGGGCGUAAAGGGCGCGUAGGCGGCCACCACAAGUCGACUGUGAAAUCUCCGGGCUUAACCCGGAAAGGUCAGCCGAUACUGCGGGGCUAGAGUGCAGAAGGGGCAACUGGAAUUCUCGGGUGUAGCGGUGAAAUGCGUAGAUAUCAGGAGGAACACCUGUGGCGAAAGCGGCGCACUGGACCACAACUGACGCUGAGGCGCGAAAGCUAGGGGAGCAAACAGG